rnacentral:rRNA from 1 species
GGAGUAACUYUAAACGGCCGCGGAAUUUUAACCGUGCUAAGGUAGCAUAAUCAUUUGUCUUUUAAUUAAAGACUUGUAUGAAUGGUUUAAUGAAAUAAAGCUAUCUCUAAAAUAUUAAAUAAAAAUUAUUUUUAAAGUGAAAAAUCUUUAAUAAAAUAAAAAGACAAAAAGACCCUAUAGAGUUUAAUUUAUCUGUAUAGACACAUAUAUAUAUAAAUUUAGUUGGGGCAACUAAUGAAAAAAAAAAUUUCUUUUUAAAAAAAAAAAUAAAAUCAUUAAUUUAAUACUAUAAAACAAAUUACCUUAGGGGUAACAGCGUAAUUUUUUUUAARAGCUCAAAUCGAARAAAAAAAUUAC